CCCGGUGAUCUAGCCAUGGGCAGGUUGAAGGUUGGGUAACACUAACUGGAGGACCGAACCGACUAAUGUUGAAAAAUUAGCGGAUGACCUGUGGCUGGGGGUGAAAGGCCAAUCAAACCGGGAGAUAGCUGGUUCUCCCCGAAAGCUAUUUAGGUAGCGCCUCGUGAAUUCAUCUCCGGGGGUAGAGCACUGUUUCGGCUAGGGGGCCAUCCCGGCUUACCAACCCGAUGCAAACUGCGAAUACCGGAGAAUGUUAUCACGGGAGACACACGGCGGGUGCUAACGUCCGUCGUGAAGAGGGAAACAACCCAGACCGCCAGCUAAGGUCCCAAAGUCAUGGUUAAGUGGGAAACGAUGUGGGAAGGCCCAGACAGCCAGGAUGUUGGCUUAGAAGCAGCCAUCAUUUAAAGAAAGCGUAAUAGCUCACUGGUCGAGUCGGCCUGCGCGGAAGAUGUAACGGGGCUAAACCAUGCACCGAAGCUGCGGCAGCGACACUGUGUGUUGUUGGGUAGGGGAGCGUUCUGUAAGCCUGUGAAGGUGUGUCGUGAGGCAUGCUGGAGGUAUCAGAAGUGCGAAUGCUGACAUAAGUAACGAUAAAGCGGGUGAAAAGCCCGCUCGCCGGAAGACCAAGGGUUCCUGUCCAACGUUAAUCGGGGCAGGGUGAGUCGACCCCUAAGGCGAGGCCGAAAGGCGUAGUCGAUGGGAAACGGGUUAAUAUUCCCGUACUUGGUGUUACUGCGAAGGGGGGACGGAGAAGGCUAUGUUGGCCGGGCGACGGUUGUCCCGGUUUAAGCGUGUAGGUGUGUGUUCCAGGUAAAUCCGGUUCACUUUAACACUGAGGCGUGACGACGAGGCACUACGGUGCUGAAGCAACAAAUGCCCUGCUUCCAGGAAAAGCCUCUAAGCAUCAGGUAACAUCAAAUCGUACCCCAAACCGACACAGGUGGUCAGGUAGAGAAUACCAAGGCGCUUGAGAGAACUCGGGUGAAGGAACUAGGCAAAAUGGUGCCGUAACUUCGGGAGAAGGCACGCUGACACGUAGGUGAAGUGAUUUACUCAUGGAGCUGAAGUCAGUCGAAGAUACCAGCUGGCUGCAACUGUUUAUUAAAAACACAGCACUGUGCAAACACGAAAGUGGACGUAUACGGUGUGACGCCUGCCCGGUGCCGGAAGGUUAAUUGAUGGGGUCAGCGCAAGCGAAGCUCCUGAUCGAAGCCCCGGUAAACGGCGGCCGUAACUAUAACGGUCCUAAGGUAGCGAAAUUCCUUGUCGGGUAAGUUCCGACCUGCACGAAUGGCGUAAUGAUGGCCAGGCUGUCUCCACCCGAGACUCAGUGAAAUUGAACUCGCUGUGAAGAUGCAGUGUACCCGCGGCAAGACGGAAAGACCCCGUGAACCUUUACUAUAGCUUGACACUGAACAUUGAGCCUUGAUGUGUAGGAUAGGUGGGAGGCUUUGAAGUGUGGACGCCAGUCUGCAUGGAGCCGACCUUGAAAUACCACCCUUUAAUGUUUGAUGUUCUAACGUGGACCCGUUACCCGGGUUGCGGACAGUGUCUGGUGGGUAGUUUGACUGGGGCGGUCUCCUCCUAAAGAGUAACGGAGGAGCACGAAGGUUGGCUAAUCCUGGUCGGACAUCAGGAGGUUAGUGCAAUGGCAUAAGCCAGCUUGACUGCGAGCGUGACGGCGCGAGCAGGUGCGAAAGCAGGUCAUAGUGAUCCGGUGGUUCUGAAUGGAAGGGCCAUCGCUCAACGGAUAAAAGGUACUCCGGGGAUAACAGGCUGAUACCGCCCAAGAGUUCAUAUCGACGGCGGUGUUUGGCACCUCGAUGUCGGCUCAUCACAUCCUGGGGCUGAAGUAGGUCCCAAGGGUAUGGCUGUUCGCCAUUUAAAGUGGUACGCGAGCUGGGUUUAGAACGUCGUGAGACAGUUCGGUCCCUAUCUGCCGUGGGCGCUGGAGAACUGAGGGGGGCUGCUCCUAGUACGAGAGGACCGGAGUGGACGCAUCACUGGUGUUCGGGUUGUCAUGCCAAUGGCACUGCCCGGUAGCUAAAUGCGGAAGAGAUAAGUGCUGAAAGCAUCUAAGCACGAAACUUGCCCCGA
rnacentral:rRNA from 2 species